GCCGGGAUGGCGGAACUGGCAGACGCAGCGGACUUAAAAUCCGCAGCCCUUAAAAGGGGCGUGGGGGUUCGAGUCCCCCUCUCGGCACCA
rnacentral:tRNA from 1 species